ACCGUGCAAAGGUAGCAUAAUCAUUUGUUCUUUAAAUAAGGACUUGUAUGAAUGGCCCCACGAGGGUUUAACUGUCUCUUACUUCCAAUCAGUGAAAUUGACCUUCCCGUGAAGAGGCGGGAAUAAAAUAAUAAGACGAGAAGACCCUAUGGAGCUUCAAUUAAUUAGCCCAUAAUAACUCACUUAAAUACCAAUAGGCUUAAUAUCACUUUAUUAAUGGGUUAACAAUUUAGGUUGGGGUGACCUCGGAGAACAAAAAAACCUCCGAGUGAUUUAAGCACAGACAAACCAGUCAAAGUACUCUAUCAUUUAUUGAUCCAAUAACUUGAUCAACGGAACAAGUUACCCUAGGGAUAACAGCGCAAUCCUAUUUGAGAGUUCAUAUCAACAAUAGGGUUUACGACCUCGAUGUUGGAUCAGGACAUCCUAAUGGUGCAGCAGCUAUAAAGGUUCGUUUGUUCAACGAUUAAAGUCCUACGUGAUCUGAGUUCAGACCGG
rnacentral:rRNA from 1 species